UGGUUUCGUCCCUAGAGACAUGCACGUCGAACGCACAGCGAAAGGUGCUUGCACACAUUUCAAAGUGAGUGGCGAACGGGUGAGUAACACCGGGGACAACCCUGCCUCAAGGCGUGGGGAUAACAUUUUGGAAACAGAUGCUAAUACCCGAAAGAAACUUAGGGUCCCAUGAUAAAAAAUUAAAAGGCGCUUUGGCGUCACCUAAGAGAUGGAUCCGCGGUCCAUUAGUUAAGUUGGUGGGGUAAAGGCCUACCAAGACAAUGAUGCAUAGCCGAGUUGAGAGACUGAUCGGCCACAUUGGGACUGAGACACGGCCCAAACUCCUACGGGGAGGCUGCAGUAGGGAAUCUUCCACAAUGGGCGAAAGCCUGAUGGAACAACGCCGCGUGUGUGAUGAAGGGCUUUCGGGUCCUAAAGCAAUGUUGUAUCCGUAAAAACCACCAAGAAUACGGAAUUGAUUUUAGUCUGAAAAUGACCAUACCACUGAAAGCGGAAAAACUUUCAAAGAGCCCUGCCAACAGCCGCGGUAAGGUACGUAUGUCCCGAGACGCUUAUCUACGGAUUUAUUGGGCGCCACACAUUGCGAGCGCAGACGGUUGAUUAAGUCCUUUGAAGUGAUAAGCCCUGGAGCUCAAAACCCCGCAAUGGCGAAAAAAAAAAAGGGGGAACUUGAGUCCCCCCAAGUAGAGGUAAGUGGAACUCCAUGUGUAGCGGUGGAAUGCGUAGAUAUAUGGAAGAACACCAGUGGCGAAGGCGGCUUACUGGACUGUAACUGACGUUGAGGCUCGAAAGUGUGGGUAGCAAACAGGAUUAGAUACCCUGGUAGUCCACACCGUAAACGAUGAACACUAGGUGUUAGGAGGUUUCCGCCUCUUAGUGCCGAAGCUAACGCAUUAAGUGUUCCGCCUGGGGAGUACGACCGCAAGGUUGAAACUCAAAGGAAUUGACGGGGACCCGCACAAGCGGUGGAGCAUGUGGUUUAAUUCGAAGCAACGCGAAGAACCUUACCAGGUCUUGACAUCCUUUGAAGCUUUUAGAGAUAGAAGUGUUCUCUUCGGAGACAAAGUGACAGGUGGUGCAUGGUCGUCGUCAGCUCGUGUCGUGAGAUGUUGGGUUAAGUCCCGCAACGAGCGCAACCCUUAUUGUUAGUUGCCAGCAUUCAGAUGGGCACUCUAGCGAGACUGCCGGUGACAAACCGGAGGAAGGCGGGGACGACGUCAGAUCAUCAUGCCCCUUAUGACCUGGGCUACACACGUGCUACAAUGGCGUAUACAACGAGUUGCCAACCCGCGAGGGUGAGCUAAUCUCUUAAAGUACGUCUCAGUUCGGAUUGUAGUCUGCAACUCGACUACAUGAAGUCGGAAUCGCUAGUAAUCGCGGAUCAGCACGCCGCGGUGAAUACGUUCCCGGGUCUUGUACACACCGCCCGUCACACCAUGGGAGUUUGUAAUGUCUCUCAAAGCGCGCCGGCGCUAACAGAAGUGGAAGCAACGGUACAUAGAAGAGUUAGGG
rnacentral:rRNA from 1 species